GCUGGGCAUGGUGGUGCAUACCUGUAAUCCCAGCGACUCAGGAAGCUGAGGCAGGAGGAUUGCAAGUUCCAGGCCAGCCUGGGCAACUUAGUGAGACUCUGUCUCAA
rnacentral:sRNA from 1 species